UUUUAUUUCAAACUUCAACAAAUUAUAGCGAGAUGAAUGUAUGAUCGAUUAGAUGUUGAAUCGACGGAGUACGAUAAUUAAAGAGGAAGAUUUCAUUCGCCUUCGCAUCCAUAACAGCUCGGGUAUGUUUUGUGCGGUUGCGCAGAUAAAAUUUUAAAUUUUUACAAUAAUAAUGUUUUGUAACAUAACAUAUUUCCACCCUUCUUCCAGAAGAUUGGGGUGUUACACUCUUGCAUGUACGAGGAGUUGCUGACCACUACACCACCGAGGAAACAAUCUGUGUGGGAUUGUUAUGGGGUCCAGACAACUGGCCCCUCGGGGGGGGGGGGGG